UAGUUCAUACCAUCUUUUGUAUAUGAUAAAUAGAGAUGCAAAAAUGUAUAAAUGAAAUAAAAGACUUGUAUUUUGGAUGAUCAUGUGAGGUAUAAAGAAUAGAAGAAUGUAAGUUGUAAUAUGCAUGUAUGUGAUUAAAUGUAAUCAUAGUACUUGUAUGGAUGUAAUAGUUGUAGAACUUUCACUUUUAGUUGUUGCUUAUCUUCGUGCAAGCCAUGUAUAUCUAUGUUCCGGUUGCGCAAAUUACAUACAUGUUGAUACUUGUGUUGAGCCUUGGGCGGGCAGGGGAGUUGCUGUCCGUCCGGCGUCUUUUGA
rnacentral:lncRNA from 1 species